rnacentral:rRNA from 1 species
GAAGGGUGCAAACGUUGCUCGGAAUUACUGGGCGUAAAGCGCGCGUAGGCGGCUUUGCAAGUCGGGUGUGAAAUCCCCAGGCUUAACCUGGGAACUGCAUUCGAGACUGCAUUGCUAGAGUAUGGGAGAGGGAAGUGGAAUUUCCGGUGUAGCGGUGAAAUGCGUAGAUAUCGGAAGGAACAUCAGUGGCGAAAGCGACUUCCUGGGCCAAUACUGACGCUCAUGUGCGAAAGCGUGGGGAGCAAACAGGAUUAGAUACCCUGGUAGUCCACGCCAUAAACGAUGAGAACUGGAUGUCGGGAGGGUCUGCCUCUCGGUGUCGUAGCUAACGCGUUAAGUUCUCCGCCUGGGGAGUACGGCCGCAAGGUUG